rnacentral:rRNA from 1 species
GAUGAACGCUGGCGGCGUGCCUAAUACAUGCAAGUCGAGCGAACAGACGAGGAGCUUGCUCCUCUGACGUUAGCGGCGGACGGGUGAGUAACACGUGGAUAACCUACCUAUAAGACUGGGAUAACUUCGGGAAACCGGAGCUAAUACCGGAUAAUAUAUUGAACCGCAUGGUUCAAUAGUGAAAGACGGUUUUGCUGUCACUUAUAGAUGGAUCCGCGCCGCAUUAGCUAGUUGGUAAGGUAACGGCUUACCAAGGCAACGAUGCGUAGCCGACCUGAGAGGGUGGUCGGCCACACUGGAACUGAGACACGGUCCAGACUCCUACGGGAGGCAGCAGUAGGGAAUCUUCCGCAAUGGGCGAAAGCCUGACGGAGCAACGCCGCGUGAGUGAUGAAGGUCUUCGGAGCGUAAAGCUCUGUUAUUAGGGAAGAACAAAUGUAUAAGUAACUAUGCACGUCUUGACGGUACCUAAUCAGAAAGCCACGGCUAACUACGUG